AUUGAACACUGGCGGCAGGCCUAACACAUGCAAGUCGAGCGGAUGAAGGGAGCUUGCUCCUGGAUUCAGCGGCGGACGGGUGAGUAAUGCCUAGGAAUCUGCCUGGUAGUGGGGGACAACGUUUCGAAAGGAACGCUAAUACCGUAUACGUCCUACGGGAGAAAGCAGGGGACCUUCGGGCCUUGCGCUAUCAGAUGAGCCUAGGUCGGAUUAGCUAGUUGGUGAGGUAAUGGCUCACCAAGGGGACGAUCCGUAACUGGUCUGAGAGGAUGAUCAGUCACACUGGAACUGAGACACGGUCCAGACUCCUACGGGAGGCAGCAGUGGGGAAUAUUGGACAAUGGGCGAAAGCCUGAUCCAGCCAUGCCGCGUGUGUGAAGAAGGUCUUCGGAUUGUAAAGCACUUUAAGUUGGGAGGAAGGGUUGUAGAUUAAUACUCUGCAAUUUUGACGUUACCGACAGAAUAAGCACCGGCUAACUCUGUGCCAGCCGCCGCCGUAAAAC
rnacentral:rRNA from 1 species